GGCGAGCUUCCUGCACACAGGACCAUGCUAACAUAAAUGCUGAAGCAAUGGCUAAUAUUCAGUACAGCUGAGAUAUUUCCUGGCAGCUGCUGAAGAAACAUGGAAAAUGGACCAAUAAGAACAGGCUGAAGAAGGCUGAAGUCAGCAACGAGGAUGAUAAUUUAUCAGAAUAUUUGGUACGUGACAACUGUUAUAAAAGAGUGGAAGAAUCAGAGCAAGAUUAAAGUGCUCAUCCUCAGAGGACUGGAUGGUAUUUUCCUCACCAGCUAAAGCCUCCUCAUUCACCUCCUCAUCUCUG
rnacentral:lncRNA from 1 species